UACGUAGGGUCCGAGCGUUGUCCGGAAUUAUUGGGCGUAAAGAGCUCGUAGGCGGCAUGUCGCGUCUGCUGUGAAAGACCGGGGCUUAACUCCGGUUCUGCAGUGGAUACGGGCAUGCUAGAGGUAGGUAGGGGAAACUGGAAUUCCUGGUGUAGCGGUGAAAUGCGCAGAUAUCAGGAGGAACACCGGUGGCGAAGGCGGAUCUCUGGGCCGUAACUGACGCUGAGGAGCGACGGUGCGUAGGGGAGCAAACCACGGAUUAGAAACCC
rnacentral:rRNA from 1 species